CAUGUAGGCGGAUUAAUAAGUUUGAAGUGAAAUCCUAUAGCUUAACUAUAGAACUGCUUUGAAAACUGUUAAUCUAGAAUGUGGGAGAGGUAGAUGGAAUUUCUGGUGUAGGGGUAAAAUCCGUAGAGAUCAGAAGGAAUACCGAUUGCGAAGGCGAUCUACUGGAACAUUAUUGAUGCUGAGAUGCGAAAGCGUGGGAGCAAACA
rnacentral:rRNA from 1 species